rnacentral:lncRNA from 1 species
UAGCUGCACUAGUGGCUGGCUGCAGCCACAUUUCAGCCCUGUUGUUCUCCAGGAGGUGAAGAGGUUGGCAGUGGGCACUAUUGUUUUCUGUGCUCUAAAAGGACAUUGAGCAUGAUGUGCUAACCUGGAGAAGCCAUACCAGCUUUCAUGUAUACUUCACAGAGUUUUCCUUUAUCAGCAGAAAAUUUUGAGCAAUUUUCCUGAUGUUUGAAAUUAUGGAGAAAAUGUCCUACUCAUUCUGAAUCUAUGGAAUGUGCAGCGUAAUGUGCAUAUGUUGGGCACCUCAUGGCUGCUACACAAAAGCUUCCUCUUCCCUUUGCAGCACAGUUGAAGCAUGAUGCUAUGGUGGAAAAAGGCACUGGUGUAGAUGGAAAUUCCAGCAAUAAAUAUUGGAUAUUCUUUAUACCUUGCCCAGAAGAGAAGUGUGACAAUGAAGUUGUUCAAUGCCAGUGAGAUACUGCAUGAACAAAGCAGCUGUGGUGGAGCAGAGGAUCAGCAUCUCCAAAAGCUGGAAGCCCAGGCAUUCUGUCCUCUCCAGAAUUAAACUGUUCUCCAUAUUGGUAAUGUACAAAUAGGACAUAGUUCCACAUUUCCAUAAUUUUCCUUUUCUAGCAUGUUACAUGUGAUUGUACUGCAGUCCAGGUUCAAAAGCAACAUAUGUGCAAGACACACC